AUUGAACGCUGGCGGCAGGCCUAACACAUGCAAGUCGAACGAGUGGCGGACGGGUGAGUAAUGUCUGGGAAACUGCCUGAUGGAGGGGGAUAACUACUGGAAACGGUAGCUAAUACCGCAUACCAUCAGAUGUGCCCAGAUGGGAUUAGCUAGUAGGUGGGGUAAUGGCUCACCUGGGCGACGAUCCCUAGCUGGUAUGAGAGGAUGACCCGCCACAAUGGAACUGAGAUACGGGCCACACGCCUACGGGAGGCAGCAGUGGGGAAUAGUGCACAAUGGGCGCAAGCCUGAGGCAGCCAUGCCGCGUGUGUGAAGAAGGCCUUCGGGUUGUAAAGCACUUGCAGCGAGGAGGCGUUACUCGCAGAAGAAGCAGCGGCUAACUCCGUGCCAGCAGCCGCGGUAAUUC
rnacentral:rRNA from 1 species